rnacentral:sRNA from 1 species
UUCUGACUCAAGAAGUCUUCUCUAACCUACUGCUCUGCGGUCUGUUCCUGAAGUGUUUUCUUUUCGAUGUUAAGACCUCUCAUAAGUAAUUCUAAUUCCGGCUGAUAUAUUGGCACGAUUGUCGUGCUACGAGAUACAAAGAUUCAAUUUAGGAAAUACCCAUGUCUAAGACAACUGGCACAGUUAAGUGGUUUAACGAAGAAAAAGGUUUUGGUUUUAUUACUCAGGAAGACGGUGGUGCAGACGUAUUUGUACACUUCCGCGCUAUCACUGGUGACGGAUUCAAAACACUUGCUGAAGGCCAAAAAGUGUCGUUCGAAGUAGAACAAGGUCAGAAAGGUCCACAGGCUGCGAACGUAGAAAAAAUCUAAUUUAAUCGUUUAGAUUAGAUCAGAAUAUCGCGCCCCGCUUUCUCUUUGAGAGAGCGGGGCGAAU